CUUACCCUCAGGAUCCGCACACCACUAUUACUCUAGUUCAAUGGCUUCUCACUCCCUCUAUUAUUUCUCCACUCCCUUCCUUCUAAAUUUUUCCUACUGCUGAAGCAAUACCCUCAAUAACACCGCCACUGGCUUUACCUUCUCCUAGACUUAGUGACAUUGAAGUGUCGUAGGCUGACCUGACCCAUGUCAAUAACUGACCACUAGAUAUACCAACAAUAACCUAC
rnacentral:lncRNA from 1 species